UACGUAGGGUGCAAGCGUUGUCCGGAAUUAUUGGGCGUAAAGAGCUCGUAGGCGGACUGUCGCGUCCGCUGUGAAAAGCUAGGGCUUAACCCUGGCCUUGCAGUGGAUACGGGCAGACUAGAGGUAGGUAGGGGAGAAUGGAAUUCCCGGUGUAGCGGUGAAAUGCGCAGAUAUCGGGAGGAACACCAGUGGCGAAGGCGGCGACCUGGGCCAAUACUGACGCUGAGGUGCGAAAGCGUGGGGAGCAAACAGG
rnacentral:rRNA from 1 species